AGAUCAGAAGUUUCUGCUUAUCCAUCCAUCCAUGUGCCAACCUAAUCUUUUUUAUAGCCCCCGAGGCGCUCGGUUGGCUCAAAUUCAAUUUUGUGUUGGAAGGGGGGGGGGGGGGGGGUGAAAAUGGAAAAGCGAGAGGGAGCAGUGUUUCAUUAGAAGUGUGAAUGAACUGCUGCUACUCGAUGUGAGAAGAGAAGCACGACCAAAUCGUUUCCGCUGUUGUCGAGACACGUCGACUUCAAGUCGUGAUGAGCUGCUGCCACGCUCCUCGAUUUCACCGAACUUAUUUUCAGUUUGGUUUCAAGAGGGAAAUGAUGGGGUGAAUAAAAAAAACGUUGGCCUUC
ensembl:ncRNA VC5.17 ncRNA